GGGGGUACGGCUCAGUGGUAGACCGUGUGCUUAGCAUGCAUGAGGUCCUGGGUUCAAUUUCCAGUACCUCCA
rnacentral:tRNA from 1 species